rnacentral:rRNA from 1 species
GAUGAACGCUGGCGGCGUGCCUAAUACAUGCAAGUCGAGCGAACGGACGAGAAGCUUGCUUCUCUGAUGUUAGCGGCGGACGGGUGAGUAACACGUGGAUAACCUACCUAUAAGACUGGGAUAACUUCGGGAAACCGGAGCUAAUACCGGAUGAUAUUUUGAACCGCAUGGUUCAAAAGUGAAAGACGGUCUUGCUGUCACUUAUAGAUGGAUCCGCGCUGCAUUAGCUAGUUGGUAAGGUAACGGCUUACCAAGGAAACGAUGCAUAGCCGACCUGAGAGGGUGAUCGGCCACACUGGAACUGAGACACGGUCCAGACUCCUACGGGAGGCAGCAGUAGGGAAUCCUCCGCAAUGGGCGAAAGCCUGACGGAGCAACGCCGCGUGAGUGAUGAAGGUCUUCGGAUCGUAAAACUCUGUUAUUAGGGAAGAACAUAUGUGUAAGUAACUGUGCACAUCUUGACGGUACCUAAUCAGAAAGCCACGGCUAACUACGUG